GACGAACGCUGGCGGCGUGCUUAACACAUGCAAGUCGAACGGAAAGGCCCUGCUUUUGUGGGGUGCUCGAGUGGCGAACGGGUGAGUAACACGUGAGUAACCUGCCCUUGACUUUGGGAUAACUUCAGGAAACUGGGGCUAAUACCGGAUAGGAGCUCCUGCUGCAUGGUGGGGGUUGGAAAGUUUCGGCGGUUGGGGAUGGACUCGCGGCUUAUCAGCUUGUUGGUGGGGUAGUGGCUUACCAAGGCUUUGACGGGUAGCCGGCCUGAGGGGGUGACCGGCCAAAUGGGAACUGGGAUACGGCCCAGACUCCUCCGGGAGGCAGCAGUGGGGAAUAUUGCACAAUGGGCGGAAGCCUGAUGCGGCAACGCCGCUGGGGGGAUGACGGCCUUCGGGUUGUAAACCGCUUUCGCCUGUGACGAAGCGUGGGUGACGGUAAUGGUGAAAGAAGCACCGGCUAACUACGU
rnacentral:rRNA from 1 species